rnacentral:rRNA from 1 species
AAUUAACGCUGGCGGCGUGCCUAACACAUGCAAGUCGAACGAGAAAGUUCUUCGGAGCGAGUAAAGUGGCGGACGGGUGAGUAACACGUAGGUAACCUGCCUUCGAGAAGGGAUAACACGCCGAAAGGCGUGCUAAUACCAUAUAACACCGUGAGAUCUAUGGAUUUUGCGGCCAAAGGAUGGCCACUACUUGUAAGCUAUCGCUCGAAGAUGGGCCUGCGCACCAUUAGCUAGUUGGUAGGGUAACGGCCUACCAAGGCUACGAUGGUUAGCUGGUCUGAGAGGACGACCAGCCACACUGGAACUGAGACACGGUCCAGACUCCUACGGGAGGCAGCAGUGGGGAAUCUUGGACAAUGGGGGAAACCCUGAUCCAGCAACGCCGUGUGAGUGAUGAAGGUCUUCGGAUUGUAAAGCUCUGUUAGCCGGGAAAAAACUCGUAAGCAUCAGAUCCUUACGAUUGAUGGUACCGGCAGAGGAAGCACCGGCUAACU